ACGUGUUUGAGGUCGUUGGCUGCAUAAAGACACCUGUCCACCCCAUACAAUCAGUAAGAAUCCAACUACUAACAUGGCCAAGACCAAAGAGCUGUCCAAAGACACUAGAGACAAAAUUAAAGUCAAAUAGAACUUUUUGGUCAUAAUUCCACUCGCCGUGUUUGGAGGAAGAAGAAUGAUGAGUACCAUCCCAAGAACACCAUCCCUACUGUGAAGCAUGGGGGUGGUAGCAUCAUGCUUUGGGGGUGUUUUUCUGCACAUGGGACAGGGCAACUGCACUGUAUUAAGGAGAGGAUGACCGGGGCCAUGUAUUGCGAGAUUUUGGGGAACAACCUCCUUCCCUCAGUUAGAGCAUUGAAGAUGGGUCGAGGCUGGGUCUUCCAACAUGACAAUGACCCGAAGCACACAGCCAGGAUAACCAAGGAGUGGCUCUGUAAGAAGCAUAUCAAGGUUCUGGCGUGGCCUAGCCAGUCUCCAGACCUAAACCCAAUAGAGAAUCUUUGGAGGGAGCUCAAACUCCGUGUUUCUCACCGACAGCCCAGAAACCCGACUGAUCUGGAGAAGAUCUGUGUGGAGGAGUGGGCCAAAAUCCCUCCUGCAGUGUGUGCAAACCUGGUGAAAAACUACAGGAAACGUUUGACCUCUGUAAUUGCAAACAAAGGCUACUGUACCAAAUAUUAACAUUGAUUUUCUCAGGUGUUCAAAUACUUAUUUGAAGCUUUAUCAUACAAAUAAAUAGUUAAAAAAAAUCACA